UGGGGAAUCUUGCGCAAUGCGCGAAAGCGUGACGCAGCAACGCCGCGUGCGGGAAGACGGCCUUCGGGUUGUAAACCGCUUUCAGUUGGGACGAAGCUCUUCCGGUGAAUAGCCGGAUGGAGUGACGGUACCUUCACAAGAAGCCCCGGCUAACUACGUGCCAGCAGCCGCGGUAAUACGUAGGGGGCAAGCGUUGUCCGGAAUCAUUGGGCGUAAAGAGCGUGUAGGCGGCCCGGUAAGUCCGCUGUGAAAGUCCAGGGCUCAACCCUGGGAUGCCGGUGGAUACUGUCGGGCUCGAGUCCGGAAGAGGAGUGUGGAAUUCCUGGUGUAGCGGUGAAAUGCGCAGAUAUCAGGAGGAACACCAAUGGCGAAGGCAGCACUCUGGGACGUGACUGACGCUGAGACGCGAAAGCGUGGGGAGCAAACA
rnacentral:rRNA from 2 species